AAACUCAAAGGAAUUGACGGGCCCGCACAAGCAGCGGAGCGUGUGGUUUAAUUCGAUGUUACACGAAGAACCUUACCUGGGAUUGACAUGGAGGUGGUAGGGAAGCGAAAGCGGACCGACUCUUCGGAGAGCCUUCACAGGUGCUGCAUGGCUGUCGUCAGCUCGUGCCGUGAGGUGUCGGGUUAAGUCCCGUAACGAGCGCAACCCUUGCCCUUAGUUACAAGUGUCUAGGGGGACUGCCGGCGGGAAGCCGGAGGAAGGUGGGGAUGACGUCAAGUCAGCAUGGCCCUUAUAUCCAGGGCUACACACACGCUACAAUGGUCGGUACAAAGGGCAGCGAAGCCGCGAGGUGGAGCGAAUCCCAGCAAAGCCGACCGUAGUACGGAUAGCAGGCUGCAACUCGCCUGCUUGAAGCUGGAGUUGCUAGUAACCGCGCGUCAGCAUAGUGCGGUGAAUACGUUCCCGGGGCUU
rnacentral:rRNA from 1 species